AACGAACGCUGGCGGCAUGCCUAACACAUGCAAGUCGAACGAGACCUUCGGGUCUAGUGGCGCACGGGUGCGUAACGCGUGGGAACCUGCCCUUAGGUUCGGAAUAACUCCCCGAAAGGGGUGCUAAUACCGGAUAAUGUCUUCGGACCAAAGAUUUAUCGCCUUUGGAUGGGCCCGCGUUGGAUUAGCUAGUUGGUAGGGUAAAAGCCUACCAAGGCGACGAUCCGUAGCUGGUCUGAGAGGAUGAUCAGCCACACUGGGACUGAGACACGGCCCAGACUCCUACGGGAGGCAGCAGUGGGGAAUAUUGGACAAUGGGCGAAAGCCUGAUCCAGCAAUGCCGCGUGAGUGAUGAAGGCCUUAGGGUUGUAAAGCUCUUUUACCCGGGAUGAUAAUGACAGUACCGGGAGAAUAAGCUCCGGCUAACUCCGU
rnacentral:rRNA from 1 species